rnacentral:lncRNA from 1 species
GGGUAAACAUGUGUAGUUGUGUAGGUAUUGGACAAAUUUGAAAAGUGCAUUUAUAGUGUAAUUUUAUUACGUAACCGCUAACUUCCUUAACUUGUUUAUAAAGCGAUAUUAAAACUAAGUGUUUGGAUGCAGCCAUAUCCUAAAUUAAAACUGGAUAAAGGAAAAGUAUUUUGUAAAGUUUUAUUUUGUGGAGCUUGUACUAUAAUUAUUUCUUCUGAUAGAAAUUUUUAUUCGAUCAGCAUGAUGCAAAAACACCUUCUCGCCCUGACAAGUGUGAAAAAACUCUUAAAAGGUCCAAUUCAAAAGGGAAAUUGACAUUGGCGCAGUGCUUAGAGAUUCAAAAAACCGAACAGAAUUUUUAACCAGGACCUUUGCAAUGCGUAUCUUCGGGAAUUACAAUUUCAAAAAUAAAUAAUGCAAUUUUAA